UACGGGGGGAGCAAGCGUUGUUCGGAUUUACUGAGCGUAAAGGGCGCGUAGGCGGUCGUGACAAGUCACUUGUGAAAUCUCCGGGCUUAACUCGGAACGGUCAAGUGAUACUGUCGGACUAGAGUACAGAAGGGGCAACUGGAAUUCUCGGUGUAGCGGUGAAAUGCGUAGAUAUCGGGAGGAACACCUGCGGCGAAGGCGGGUUGCUGGGCUGAUACUGACGCUGAGGCGCGAAAGCCAGGGGAGCGAACGGG
rnacentral:rRNA from 1 species